rnacentral:lncRNA from 1 species
UGAAAGUGUUCAGAAAUUGCAUUUGAACUAGUUGAGAUCCUGAUACAGGGCCCAUGGACAAACCACACAUGCCAGUGUCCCCACUGUUAGGGAGGGGUCAUAUUGAUGGACUCUGACCAAUAGCAUGUGAUGAAUUCUCUUCCUACACCUGUCAGCUGGGAGCUGAGAAUCCAGGGGGAAGCUUCUAAGGCUCCAGGAGGAUGAGCUUUUAGAUGGAAGGAACCUGAGUCCCUGAGUGACUUGGUGGAGAACCUCCACCCCCUAAUCAGCUACACUGGACGUGACAUGAUUGAAAAAUAAACAUUGGGCAUGUUGCUUUUAUAGCAGCUAGCAUUCCUUACCCAGGCCCAUCUACCCAGCAUUUCCCAGUGUCUGAUACACAAGAUGAUUUCAGUAUACCCAAACAGUUUAAAAUGUUCACUUCUUACACAUUUGUUUUAUAGGUAUGCUUUCUUGAUGUAUUACAUAUUUGUUUUAUAGGUAUUUCUUUAUUA